GAUGAAGAACGUAGCGAAAUGCGAUAAGUAAUGUGAAUUGCAGAAUUCAGUGAAUCAUCGAAUCUUUGAACGCACAUUGCGCCCCCUGGUAUUCCGGGGGGCAUGCCUGUUCGAGCGUCAUUUCACCACUCAAGCCUCGCUUGGUAUUGGGCAAUGCGGUCCGCCGCCUGCCUCAAAUCGACCGGCUGGGUCUUCUGUCCCCUAAGCGUUGUGGAAACUAUUCGCUAAAGGGUGUUCGGGAGGCUACGCCGUAAAACAACCCCAUCUCUAAGGUUGACCUCGGAUCAGGUAGGGAUACCCGCUGAACUUAAGCAUAUCAAUAAGCGGAGGA
rnacentral:misc_RNA from 1 species